rnacentral:rRNA from 1 species
UUGGAGGGCAAGUCUGGUGCCAGCAGCCGCGGUAAUUCCAGCUCCAAUAGCGUAUAUUAAAGUUGUUGCAGUUAAAAAGCUCGUAGUUGAGUUUCGGGAUCAAAUAAUCGGUCGUGCCUCCGGUACGUACUGGUUUUAUUGGUUCCUCCCUUCUGACGAACCAUGAUGUCAUUAAUUUGAUGUGGUGGAGAAUCAGGACUGUUACCUUGAAAAAAUUAGAGUGUUUAAAGCAGGCUAACGCUUGAAUACAUUAGCAUGGAAUAAUGAAAUAGGACGUUCGACCCUAUUUUGUUGGUUUCUAGGAUCGACGUAAUGAUUAAUAGGGAUAGUUGGGGGCAUUAGUAUUCAAUUGUCAGAGGUGAAAUUCUUGGAUUUAUUGAAGACUAACUAUUGCGAAAGCAUUUGCCAAGGAUGUUUUCAUUAAUCAAGAACGAAAGUUAGGGGAUCGAAGACGAUCAGAUACCGUCGUAGUCUUAACCAUAAACUAUGCCGACUAGGAAUCGGGCGUCGUUAUUUUCACGACUCGCUCGGCGCCUUACGGGAAAC